rnacentral:rRNA from 1 species
UACGAAGGGGGCUAGCGUUGUUCGGAUUAACUGGGCGUAAAGGGUGCGUAGGCGGGUUUUAAGUCAGGGGUGAAAUCCCGAGGCUCAACCUCGGAACUGCCUUUGAUACUGGAAAUCUUGAGUCUGGGAGAGGUGAGUGGAACUGCGAGUGUAGAGGUGAAAUUCGUAGAUAUUCGCAAGAACACCGGUGGCGAAGGCGGCUCACUGGCCCGGAACUGACGCUGAGGCACGAAAGCGUGGGGAGCAAACAGGG